CCUACGGUAGGCAGCAGUAGGGAAUAUUGCUCAAUGGGGGAAACCCUGAAGCAGCACCGCCGCGUGGAGGAUGAAGGUUUUCGGAUUGUAAACUCCUUUUGUUAGAGAAGAUAAUGACGGUAUCUAACGAAUAAGCACCGGCUAACUCCGUGCCAGCAGCCGCGGUAAUACGGAGGGUGCAAGCGUUACUCGGAAUCACUGGGCGUAAAGAUCGCGUAGGCGGGAUAGCAAGUCAGAUGUGAAAUCCUAUGGCUUAACCAUAGAACUGCAUUUGAAACUGUUAUUCUAUAGUAUGGGAGAGGUAGGUGGAAUGCUUGGUGUAGGGGUAAAAUCCGUAGAGAUCAAGAGGAAUACUCAUUGCGAAGGCAGCGUACCGGCGCCAGACGGACGCUGAGGCACGAAAGCGUGGGGAUCGAACAGGAUUAGAUACCCUUGUAGUC
rnacentral:rRNA from 1 species